rnacentral:rRNA from 1 species
AGAGUUUGAUCCUGGCUCAGGACGAACGCUGGCGGCGUGCUUAACACAUGCAAGUCGAACGGAAAGGCCCUUCGGGGUACUCGAGUGGCGAACGGGUGAGUAACACGUGGGUGAUCUGCCCUGCACUUUGGGAUAAGCCUGGGAAACUGGGUCUAAUACCGAAUAUGACCAUGCACUUCCUGGUGUGUGGUGGAAAGCUUUUGCGGUGUGGGAUGGGCCCGCGGCCUAUCAGCUUGUUGGUGGGGUAAUGGCCUACCAAGGCGACGACGGGUAGCCGGCCUGAGAGGGUGACCGGCCACACUGGGACUGAGAUACGGCCCAGACUCCUACGGGAGGCAGCAGUGGGGAAUAUUGCACAAUGGGCGCAAGCCUGAUGCAGCGACGCCGCGUGAGGGAUGACGGCCUUCGGGUUGUAAACCUCUUUCAGCACAGACGAAGCGCAAGUGACGGUAUGUGCAGAAGAAGGACCGGCCAACUACGUGCCAGCAGCCGCGGUAAUACGUAGGGUCCGAGCGUUGUCCGGAAUUACUGGGCGUAAAGAGCUCGUAGGUGGUUUGUCGCGUUGUUCGUGAAAACUCACAGCUUAACUGUGGGCGUGCGGGCGAUACGGGCAGACUUGAGUACUGCAGGGGAGACUGGAGUUCCUGGUGUAGCGGUGGAAUGCGCAGAUAUCAGGAGGAACACCGGUGGCGAAGGCGGGUCUCUGGGCAGUAACUGACGCUGAGGAGCGAAAGCGUGGGGAGCGAACAGGAUUAGAUACCCUGGUAGUCC